CUGGCCAGAGGCGCUCCUCACCUCCUAGGUGGGGCGGCGGCUGGGCAGAGGUGCUCCUCGCCUCCCAGACAGGAUGGCGGCCAGGCAGAGGUGGUCCUUGCCUCUCAGAUGGGGUGGUGGCCGGGCAGAGGCGCUCCUCACUUCCCAGAUGGGGUGGCCAGGCAUAGUCGCUCCUCAUAUCCCAGAUGGGGCAGCCGGGCAGAAGCCCUCCUCACAUC
rnacentral:lncRNA from 1 species